rnacentral:rRNA from 1 species
ACGCUCGACACCUACGGAAGGCAGCAGUGAGGAAUAUUGGUCAAUGGGCGCUAGCCUGAACCAGCCAAGUAGCGUGAAGGAUGAAGGCUCUAUGGGUCGUAAACUUCUUUUAUAUAAGAAUAAAGUGCAGUAUGUAUACUGUUUUGUAUGUAUUAUAUGAAUAAGGAUCGGCUAACUCCGUGCCAGCAGCCGCGGUAAUCUGAGGCGGGCGUGGCAAGGC